UACGAGUGGCCCAAGCGUUAUCCGGAAUUAUUGGGCGUAAAGGAUAUGUAGGUGGUUAUAUUAGUCUGGUGUCUAACCUCUGGGCUCAACCUGGAGACAGCAUUGGAAACGGUAUGACUAGGAUGUAUUGUAGGGGGUGAGCGGAACUCAUAGUGUAGCGGUGAAAUGCGUAGAUAUCUGGAGGAACACCGGUGGCGAAGGCGGCAUCCUGGACCAACACUGACGCUGAGGAGCGAAAAGCCAGGGGAGCAAACGGGG
rnacentral:rRNA from 1 species